UACGUAGGUGGCAAGCGUUGUCCGGAUUUACUGGGCGUAAAGAGCGCGCGGGCGGUCGUUCAAGUCGCGUGUGAAAGCCCCCGGCUCAACUGGGGAGGGUCACGCGACACUGAUCGACUCGAAGGCAGGAGAGGGUAGUGGAAUUCCCGGUGUAGUGGUGAAAUGCGUAGAUAUCGGGAGGAACACCAGUGGCGAAGGCGACUACCUGGCCUGUUCUUGACGCUGAGGCGCGAAAGCUAGGGGAGCAAACGGG
rnacentral:rRNA from 1 species